GCCUAACACAUGCAAGUCGAGCGGCAGCGAGACUAGUAGCAAUACUAGUUGUCGGCGAGCGGCGGACGGGUGAGGAACACGUAGGAACUUGCCCUUUAGAGGGGGAUAACCAAGGGAAACUUUGGCUAAUACCGCGUAAACUCGAAAGAGGAAAGCUGCCCGCAAGGGUGGCGCUAAAGGAGAGGCCUGCGUCUGAUUAGCUAGUUGGUGAGGUAAUGGCUUACCAAGGCGAUGGUCGGUAACUGGUCUGAGAGGCCGAACAGUCACACUGGGACUGGGACACGGCCCAGACUCCGACGGGAGGCAGCAGUGGGGAAUAUUGGACAAUGGGGGCAACCCUGAUCCAGCGAUGCCGCGUGGGUGGAGAAGGCCUUCGGGUUGUAAAGCCCUUUAGGUUGGGAAGAAGUGAAUUGUAGGAUAAUGACAGUUCAUUGACGGUACCGACAGAAUAAGCACCGGCAAACUCUGUGCCAGCAGCCGCCGCAG
rnacentral:rRNA from 1 species